rnacentral:rRNA from 1 species
CCGCGUGAAUGAUGAAGGCCCUAGGGUUGUAAAGUUCUUUCAACGGUGAAGAUGAUGACGGUAGCCGUAGAAGAAGCCCCGGCUAACUCCGUGCCAGCAGCCGCGGUAAUACGGAGGGGGCGAGCGUUGUUCGGAAUUACUGGGCGUAAAGGGCGUGUAGGCGGACUGUUAAGUUAGGGGUGAAAUCCCAGGGCUCAACCCUGGAACUGCCUCUAAUACUGGCGGUCUUGAGAUUUGGAGAGGUGUGUGGAAUUCCUAGUGUAGAGGUGAAAUUCGUAGAUAUUAGGAAGAACACCAGUGGCGAAGGCGGCACACUGGCCAACAUCUGACGCUGAGGCGCGAAAGCGUGGGGAGCAAACAGGAUUAGAUACCCUGGUAGUCCACGCCGUAAACGAUGUGUGCUAGCCGUCGGGCAGUUUACUGUUCGGUGGCGCAAGUUAACGCGUUAAGCACACCGCCUGGGGAGUACGGUCGCAAGAUUAAAA